CACAGUUGUCAGAGAAAACAGACCGAUACACUUACCAAUAGUCAAUCUUAAGGGAGAAAUGCUUUUCCACAACUGGGAAUCUAUAUUUAAAGGAAAUGGUGGAGAAUUCAACAUUAAUGUUCCAAUAUACUCUUUUGAUGGGAGAAAUGUCAUGACAGACCCAUCCUGGCCUCAAAAAGUAAUAUGGCAUGGUUCAACUGCGAAUGGGAUCCGAAUGGUUAGCAACUACUGUGAAGCCUGGCACACAAGUGAUUUGGCAGCUAUGGGACAAGCAUCACCACUGAAGAAGGGAAAACUUCUCGAUCAGAAAGCAUAUAGCUGUAGCAAUCAGUUUAUUGUUCUCUGUAUUGAAAACAGUUUUGUAUCUGAUCCCCAAGGAAAAUAAUUCACCUGUUGCACAUAGUAUUCCAUCUUAUGACAGAAAAAGCUGACACUGAAAUUUUAUUUGUACUGAUGUAAAUAUUUUAUUUUUUGCAAUUGCACCUUUCAGGAAAAAAUAGCCAAAGAAAAUGUACCUCAACAUAAGCCAUAUUCCAGUUGGGUGAAAUAUCCCAUGUCACAUGAGGCUGACUUAAACCCUUCUUUCCACAUGAACCCCACAUGGUUCAAGGUCUGCCAACACUUAACUCACAACCCCUUUUUUUCUGUCUGAAGAUCAGUGAAAGUCUAGUGUGGUCUACAGGAAAGAUUCAGUAGCUUAUCUUAGAAGCAAUAAGGCUCAGCAAGGCUGAUGCUUCUUCAUAGUUGAGAAGCUGCAUGUUCUUUUUACUUGCAUAGGUUUUUGAACACUCAAGGCACUAUUUAAAUAUAUGUCUAUAUACAUGCUGUCCCCGAGUAAAUAAGGGGAUGCUGUUAAAACUUACAGGGAUGGAAUUGACAAAAAUUUUUAAGAACAAAGGUGCUCACCUUUUGGUCUCCGUGGAAGCUAAGUACCUACCUCCCAUAAGCUUUUAUAGAUUUCACCCUGGUUCUUAUACAUGAAUUUAGCAGCCUGACUGCUUACUUCCACUAUUUGCAGAUUCUAGGCAUAGGGCUUUAUGCAGGAGAACUGAAUCUCACCUAGACAAAAUCUGGUCCUUAUUUUGGUGCUAUCGUUAUCAGGAAAUCUGGAACAAUAUUAAUAGAAAACAUCCUGUUUUAACUGGCAGAACUUUGCAAAGUAUAUGCAGACAAACAAGCCAUCUGACCGUUAUUUAUUUUAUUGCAUGUUAGAGGAAGUCAUUUCCUGUUGUGGCAAGCAUUGCUGAAUGAAAGUCUGUCGUCGUUUCUUUACAAUAGGUUCUAGAUAUUGUUAUCUCACUAAGUUACAUGUAAAAGUGAUUUUCCUUUUUGUGAAUUUACCCUUCUGGCAUUCACGUAAUGAAGGAAUCAUUAAUAUAUAAUCACAGCAGCAAUGAUGGAAAUGACCUGUAAAUGC